rnacentral:rRNA from 1 species
GAUGAACGCUGGCGGCGUGCCUAAUACAUGCAAGUCGAGCGAACAGACGAGGAGCUUACUCCUCUGACGUUAGCGGCGGACGGGUGAGUAACACGUGGAUAACCUACCUAUAAGACUGGGAUAACUUCGGGAAACCGGAGCUAAUACCGGAUAACAUGUUGAACCGCAUGGUUCAACAGUGAAAGACGGUCUUGCUGUCACUUAUAGAUGGAUCCGCGUCGCAUUAGCUAGUUGGUAAGGUAACGGCUUACCAAGGCAACGAUGCUUAGCUGACCUGAGAGGGUGAUCGGCCACACUGGAACUGAGACACGGUCCAGACUCCUACGGGAGGCAGCAGUAGGGAAUCUUCCGCAAUGGGCGAAAGCCUGACGGAGCAACGCCGCGUGAGUGAAGAAGGUCUUCGGAUCGUAAAACUCUGUUAUUAGGGAAGAACAAAUGUGUAAGUAACUAUGCACGUCUUGACGGUACCUAAUCAGAAAGCCACGGCUAACUACGUG